rnacentral:lncRNA from 1 species
ACACUGAGCACUGGGCCUGCCUUCUUCCUAACACAGGUUUUUGUAAGCUCCAGACAUUGGAUAAAGCAUUUUGAGGGAUAGGUGAAAACGAAAUCCUGCCCUUUACUCUUGAGAACUCACUCUGCUGUGGGAGGAGAGACAGGCAGCCACCAGGUGCAAUCUCCAACAUGUGCGGGCUUUGGGAAAACACAAUCGGGCAAGUGAAGUUUGUUGCAGACAAGUUCUUCUUCCCCUCUGCCACAACCUCCUCCAAGGUUACAGGGAGAGCACCCUGUCUGUGAAGAAGCAGGUUCUCAUCUGAUACCAAAUCUGCUGGCACCUUGAUCUUGGACUUCCCAGACUCCAGGACUGUGAGUAACACAUUUGUGUUGUUUACAAGCUGCUCAGAAGGUGGUAAAUUGUGAUAGCAGGCCAAAUGGACCACGACAGGGUAUAAGUUGUUUUAUCCCCAUUUUAUAGAAGAGGUAAACAGGCUCAGGAUGAGCACAGGCCAAAACCGCCUAAUGAAUAUUAGCAACCAGAUAUUUCCUGGCACACAGUCCACACCAAGUAAAUGUUUGAGCGGCUGUUGAGCUGAAUCAUUGUUUAAUUUUUGUCUUUCCACCACAGGAAGAUCACAGAUUGACAUCAGCAGGAAAACUUGCCAGGCAGCAGGAGGAUCCAUUUGAAAACUCACGAGAAAAAGGCCCUUGAGGCCUUUUUCCUGGUUAUUGAAGACAUCUUAGGAAACACUUAUGGUGACAAUUAAUCAAGCAAAAAUAGAUCCAGUUUUUCUGAAGAUCAAGCUUAACAUGUGUGCCAUGCUUUAAAAUGUCUUUCCAGGCACUCUCUCCUGCCCACGGAUCUUGCUUGGGAAAGGAAUGGGGCAAGUGGAAAUGGCCAUUUCUUAGAUGAACACAUCAGGGACUUGCUCCAGUCUGAAGUCUAUACAGAGCUAGGCUUUGAAUCCAGUCACGUAACUGCAUAGCAGCAAAUCAGCCUUUCAGAAUAUUGCAGGAUCAGCAAUGAAAUUCCCUUUGCCAGAGAAAUGGACAAACAAGGAAGCAACAAUGGUGAUGGUGGAAGUGUUCUUCAAGUCUAAGUUUGGGUUCUAGAAACAUCUGGCCAAAUAACGUCUUUCACAACUAAAAUAGAAUAUAAAGAAGCCAUUUGACCUGCCUCAGUUAUCAUGGUCAUCAUGACAAGCUGCAGCAGGACAAAUCAGCUUAACAAUUUCGGAAACUGCCAGAAAUGCUAUUUGGAUUAAUUUUUAUUUGGGAGUUGGCUAAAACUGGUCACAUCCCCAAAUACCUCAAGAUAAACAACAUAGCAUUAUCAUACAAAUCUAUAUUCACCAAAUUAGGUUAAAAUAGGCUGUUUUGAGAAGGUUGAAUUUUUUUAUGGGGAUUAUUCCCAAAAUACGUUUAGACACAAGAAGUUCAACUUUUCUUUUUUCCAUAUUUGAUGUCAAUCAAACUAAUUACUACAUGUUUGGAAUUGCAUUAAUUGUAUUCUUCAGUUACCUAUAAAAUUUAAUUAUCAUGUCUUUAUGGAAAUUUUAAUAUCAGAUAUAAAGAAUGGCAUAUUUAAAAUGACAUUUUAAUACUUUAUAAGAAGCAACAGAAAUUCGACUUCCAAAGCACCUCUCAGUACUACCAUUGGAGUACAUCUAUAUUUUUCUGUCAGAAUACUAUCCAAAGCAAGCAUAAGUAAUCCUUAUUUUCACGAUACAUUGAUGCUCAAAAGUUGUGUGUUCAGCAUGUCUACAAAGUAAAUUACCGUAUAUUUGAAACAGCAGACUAAAACUGAAGUAACAUCUGGAAAAAAUUGCCCUAAUUGCUAGCCCCUAAAUUCAUCUGACCUUGACACUCUCAUCUGAAUUUAAAAGUGUUUUAAAUUCUUAGCCAAUCAAUUCAAGCCAGAACUGAAUUCAUAUGUCUUCAGAAACUGCUAAUCUAGAACAAUGUAACUAGAAUAGAUUCCUGAUCAAACUUUGGUUUUGUUCAGGUAUCCACUCAUUUCCUAGGUGACCCAGAGGCCACAACUCACAACUCCACCCCUUCCCGUGGCUGGUCCAGGCUGUGCAGAUCUUGUAGUCACAAAGUCCUGGCAAUGGGCUGGGGGUGGGAUCUGACCUAGUGCUGACCAACAUGUCAAAAACAGAUGGCUGCAGAACCCUCUGGAAAAGCUUCCCUCAUUCUUAAGGAAUCCUGUGAAGAGAUGGUCUGUUUCUGUCCUGUUCCCUGGAUGUCAAAUGUCUGGGUUUGAGACCCAGAACUCCUGAAGCCAUCUCACAACUACAAGGGGAGCAGAUGUAGCCACUGAGGAUGGCCAAGCAGAGGGAGGGAGGACCUUUCCUGCCAGCAUCGCCAGCGGCUGAAUCACAGCCCAGAACCCCACAGCACCCUAAACGUCCUCUUAACAAAUGUAAUACGUUGUCUUACUGUUUGUGCCUGUGUGAAAAGUCCUCUUUGCUUGCAGUGAAGGCAUCCUAGUUGAUAAACAUGAAAUUUGAAAAUUGGA